UAGACUCCUUUCGAUGCUUGUAUGCUACUCCCAAGAAUGCUAACAGGAGUUACAUGUAUGCAUCGAGCAGAGACUA
ensembl:miRNA